UACGGAGGGUGCAAGCGUUAUCCGGAUUCACUGGGGUUAAAGGGUGCGUAGGUGGGUUGGUAAGUCAGUGGUGAAAUCUCCAGGCUUAACUUGGAAACUGCCAUUGAUACUAUCAAUCUUGAAUACCGUGGAGGUCAGCGGAAUAUGUCAUGUAGCGGUGAAAUGCUUAGAUAUGACAUAGAACACCAAUUGCGAAGGCAGCUGGCUACACGAAUAUUGACACUGAUGCACGAAAGCGUGGGGAUCAAACAGG
rnacentral:rRNA from 1 species